UACGAAGGGGGCUAGCGUUGUUCGGAAUUACUGGGCGUAAAGCGCACGUAGGCGGAUAUUUAAGUCAGGGGUGAAAUCCCAGAGCUCAACUCUGGAACUGCCUUUGAUACUGGGUAUCUCGAGUAUGGAAGAGGUAAGUGGAAUUCCGAGUGUAGAGGUGAAAUUCGUAGAUAUUCGGAGGAACACCAGUGGCGAAGGCGGCUUACUGGUCCAUUACUGACGCUGAGGUGCGAAAGCGUGGGGAGCAAACAGG
rnacentral:rRNA from 1 species